AUAUUGCUGAAGAGCCUCAAACUAGGACGGAACAGCUGUCCAAUAU
rfam:Trichobilharzia regenti genome assembly, scaffold: TRE_scaffold0014826